UAACCUAAUGUUUGCUUCUUUCGUUUCAAAUUAUCUUUGGGUUACAACAACAAAAACAAAACAUUAUGGCUUCCGGUCAGAACUUACGCAAGUUUGUGCGUUUAUUUCGAGGAAAUACUAGUAUUUUUGAUAAGCACACAUUGAGUCCUAUCCGAGCUCUGUACCAGAAUGGCACAUGCAUGUCAUGUCGAUGCCUCUCGUCUGCUACAAGGAGGACAGGCGACAUCCAGCGGCAAUUAUUACCUAGUCAGUCAAGGGUCUCACUUCAAAAUGUGAGGACCAUGUUUAUACAGACACAAGACACACCAAAUCCCAACUGUUUGAAGUUUAUUCCUGGUGUUACUGUCUUGGACUCGGGCACUAAAGACUUUCCCAAUGGACAGUCAGCAUUUUGCUCUCCGCUUGCCAAAAACCUGUUUCGUAUAGAAGGUGUAAAGGCAGUGUUUUUUGGUCACGAUUUCGUCACUAUCACUAAGAAAGAUGACGAUAUGGACUGGUCGGUGAUCAAACCAGAUGUGUUUGCCACCAUCAUGGACUUCUUUGCCACAGGCCUUCCAGUGCUUAAUGAAGCCCAGCAGCCAGCUGACACUGCCCCUGAUAGUGAAGAUGAUGAGACAGUGGUGAUGAUAAAGGAGCUCCUUGACACUCGGAUACGGCCCACAGUGCAGGAGGAUGGUGGAGAUAUCGUGUUUAUGGGCUACGAGGACGGCGUGGUGAAGCUGAAGAUGCAGGGGUCCUGUACGGGCUGCCCCAGCUCCACGGUGACCCUGAAGAAUGGCAUACAGAACAUGCUGCAGUUCUACGUACCAGAGAUCACAGAGGUCAUACAGGUGGGUACCAGAGAUCACAGAGGUCAUACAGGUGGAAGAUGAAGCGGAUGCAGUGACUCAGACUGAGUUUGAGAAACUGGAAAAGAAAUUGGGUGAGAAAACAGGGACCAGCUCAACGUAAUGUUUGUCAGUAUAAAUGACUGAGUGGGUGUCAGAGUGUCUGCAUGCUGUGCUGAAGAAGUUAAUUUACUUACAGUUACAAACUUGUUUUCAAACCAAACUGGACAGAUUGUAAAACGCUUUCACUGUGAUAGAAGAGGAUGCUUUACAUAUGGUUGAAACACAGUUUUGAUGAUCAUUGUUUAUUGCAGUGAUGAAUAUUGUUGUGUACAUACUUUUUGAAAUAAAUAAGCUGUUGAAUGGUAGGUGUGUUCAUGUAAUUAUAUGCCUAUUGAUUCUGCAAUGAGAAAUAUGAAGAUGCUAGAAGAGUUGCAGGCAGAUCUAUAUUUAAUAUCUUAUUAUUUAUGCGCUUUAUGGUAUUCUCUGAGCAUAGGAUUUACAUUAUUUGUUGCUUAUUUGAUAUUUACCUGAUUUUUAUUUGACACUGUUUGCUAUUUGUGUAGUAAUUUUUAAGUAAAUGUUACAUUUUGUUACCUGAAUAAAUUUGUCUAAUUA